AAGCGGCGGAGCAUGCGGAUUAAUUCGAUGCAACGCGAAGAACCUUACCAAGGCUUGACAUGCACCGGACGACUGCAGAGAUGUGGUUUCCCUUUGUGGCUGGUGCACAGGUGGUGCAUGGUUGUCGUCAGCUCGUGUCGUGAGAUGUUGGGUUAAGUCCCGCAACGAGCGCAACCCUCGUUCUAUGUUGCCAGCGGUUCGGCCGGGGACUCAUAGGAGACUGCCGGGGUCAACUCGGAGGAAGGUGGGGAUGACGUCAAAUCAUCAUGCCCCUUACGUCUUGGGCUUCACGCAUGAUACAAUGGCCGGUACAAAGGGCUGCGAUCCCGUGAGGGGGAGCGAAUCCCAGAAAGCCGGUCUCAGUUCGGAUUGGGGUCGGCAACUCGACCCCAUGAAGUCGGAGUCGCUAGUAAUCGCAGAUCAGCAAC
rnacentral:rRNA from 1 species